UGGGGAAUAUUGGACAAUGGGCGCAAGCCUGAUCCAGCCAUGCCGCGUGAGUGAUGAAGGCCCUAGGGUUGUAAAGCUCUUGCGUGCGGGAAGAUAAUGACGGUACCGCAAGAAUAAGCCCCGGCUAACUUCGUGCCAGCAGCCGCGGUAAUACGAAGGGGGCUAGCGUUGCUCGGAAUCACUGGGCGUAAAGGGUGCGUAGGCGGGUCUUUAAGUCAGGGGUGAAAUCCUGGAGCUCAACUCCAGAACUGCCUUUGAUACUGAAGAUCUUGAGUUCGGGAGAGGUGAGUGGAACUGCGAGUGUAUAGGUGAAAUUCGUAGAUAUUCGCAAGAACACCAGUGGCGAAGGCGGCUCACUGGCCCGAUACUGACGCUGAGGCACGAAAGCGUGGGGAGCAAACAG
rnacentral:rRNA from 1 species